rnacentral:rRNA from 1 species
GAUGAACGCUGGCGGCGUGCCUAAUACAUGCAAGUCGAGCGAACGGACGAGAAGCUUGCUUCUCUGAUGUUAGCGGCGGACGGGUGAGUAACACGUGGAUAACCGACCUAUAAGACUGGGAUAACUUCGGGAAACCGGAGCUAGUACCGGAUAAUAUUUUGAACCGCAUGGUUCAAAAGUGAAAGACGGUCUUGCUGUCACUUAUAGAUGGAUCCGCGCUGCAUUAGCUAGUUGGUAAGGUAACGGCUUACCAAGGCAACGAUGCAUAGCCGACCUGAGAGGGUGAUCGGCCACACUGGAACUGAGACACGGUCCAGACUCCUACGGGAGGCAGCAGUAGGGAAUCUUCCGCAAUGGGCGAAAGCCUGACGGAGCAACGCCGCGUGAGUGAUGAAGGUCUUCGGAUCGUAAAACUCUGUUAUUAGGGAAGAACAUAUGUGUAAGUAACUGUGCAAAUCUUGACGGUACCUAAUCAGAAAGCCACGGCUAACUACGUG